GCAUGUGUUUUUGUUACCUGCAAUGUAUCUUAUGUAUAAGGAAUCACAUGGGUGAUUAAUAUAUUUCCAUUUGUUGGUUAAUAGCGAUGAUGUGUUGCAUGUAGGUCUAUAUUUGUAUUUCACGUAAAACGUAUGUUUUGAUUUUAACCAAUGGCAUUCAACUAACUAAAUGUAUUUUUGACAAUGAAGUGGCAGUCUAAAUGGCAUUUCUACCCAAGAACAGAUACAGUACAGGAGGCAACACAGGAGCAAGGAAACUGAGAGUCACAGCGAGGUACACACCAGGCUCUUGCUCACCAGUUUGUGUCCUUUUGUGCAAUUCUUGGGCCAACUCUUUCAAGGAGUUCGUCGAGGGCCAACUCUUUCAAGGAGUUCGUCGAAAAGAGCUGGCUCCAUUCUAAGACAGAACAACAGCAUCUAAGAACAUGGCCAAGCCUCUCAUCAUCACCAUUGGCAUCCUCCUGAUUCUGAUGGGAACUGGUACAGAAGCGUGUUCGUGUGUGGGUUGCUCGCCGAGUCCACCAAUUUUCUGCGUCAUUAUGUGGACCGUAGUGAUAGGCCUGCCGCUCCUGCUGCUCCUGGUAGGAAUAGCUGUCUACUGUUGUCGUCGUCGUCGUCGUAAACGCAAUUGCAAAGCACUUGAUCAUGCUGAACUCCAUCCUUCACACAAAGAUGGAAACGAGAACUACAUGUAAAUGGAAGUGGGCCAAAAUCUUAAAGACAGAAGAAGGCGACUAUUAAAUGCUGCACACCUGGCUUGCAAAUUGCAUGUCGGGAGACAAAAUACGACAAAUCUACCAAGGCACCAGAAAUUGUCCAACAUUAGUUAUUUGUCAGUGUAACUUCUUGUAAAACAAUGUUGUUUUUCAUUUA
rnacentral:misc_RNA from 1 species